AUGAUGACCCGAAUCCGUAUUUUUUCUAUAAAAAAUGGAAGAAUUGGUGUGAAUUGAUUCUACAUUGAAGAAAGAAUCGAAUAUUCAUUGAUCAAACCAUUCACUCCAUACUCUGAUAGAUCUUUUGAAGAACUGAUUAAUCGGACGAGAAUAAAGAUAGAGUCCCGUUCUACAUGUCAAUACCGGCAACAAUGAAAUUUAUAGUAAAUCGAAUAUUCAUUGAUCAAACCAUUCACUCCAUACUCUGAUAGAUCUUUUGAAGAACUGAUUAAUCGGACGAGAAUAAAGAUAGAGUCUCGUUCUACAUGUCAAUACCAGCAACAAUGAAAUUCAUAGUAAGAGGAAAAUCCGUCGAUUUUAAAAAUCGUGAGGGUUGAAGUCCCUCUAUCCCCA
rnacentral:lncRNA from 1 species